rnacentral:rRNA from 1 species
CAGCCGCCGCGGGAAUACGUAGGGUGCAAGCGUUAAUCGGAAUUACUGGGCGUAAAGCGUGCGCAGGCGGUUUGUUAAGACAGAUGUGAAAUCCCCGGGCUCAACCUGGGAACUGCAUUUGUGACUGGCAAGCUAGAGUGUGGCAGAGGGGGGUGGAAUUCCGCGUGUAGCAGUGAAAUGCGUAGAUAUGCGGAGGAACACCGAUGGCGAAGGCAGCCCCCUGGGCCAACACUGACGCUCAUGCACGAAAGCGUGGGGAGCAAACAGGAUUAGAUACCCCUGUAGUCCCUGUCUCUUAUAC